rnacentral:rRNA from 1 species
AACGAACGCUGGCGGCGUGCUUAACACAUGCAAGUCGAACGAAGUGGCGAACGGGUGAGUAACGCGUCAUCAACCUGCCCUUCAGAGGGGGACAACAGUUGGAAACGACUGCUAAUACCGCCUACUGAAGUAGGUGCUUUCGUCUGAUUAGCUAGUUGUGGGGGUAACGGCCCACCAAGGGGAUGAUCAGGAGCCGGUCGUGGAGGAUGAACGGCCAAAUGUGGACUGUGAAACGGCCCAGACUCCUACGGGAGGCAGCAGUGGGGAAUCUUCCGAAAUGGAGGAAAGUCGGAAGGAGCAACGCCGCGUGAGUGAUGACGGCCUUCGGGUUGUAAAGCUCUGUUAAUCGGGACGCGGUACCGGAAUAGAAAGCCACGGCUAACUACGUGCCAGCAGCCGCGGUAAUUC